GAUGAACGCUGGCGGCGUGCCUAAUACAUGCAAGUCGAGCGAACGGACGAGAAGCUUGCUGCUCUGAUGUUAGCGGCGGACGGGUGAGUAACACGUGGAUAACCUACCUAUAAGACUGGGAUAACUUCGGGAAACCGUAGCUAAUACCGGAUAAUAUUUUGAACCGCAUGGUUCAAAAGUGAAAGACGGUCUUGCUGUCACUUCUAGAUGGAUCCGCGCUGCAUUAGCUAGUUGGUAAGGUAACGGCUUACCAAGGCAACGAUGCAUAGCCGACCUGAGAGGGUGAACGGCCCCACUGGAACUGAGACACGGUCCAGACUCCUACGGGAGGCAGAAGUAGGGAAGCUUCGCCAAUGGGCGAAAGCCUGACGGAGCAACGCCGCGUGGGUGAUGAAGGUCUUCGGAUCGUAAAACUCUGUUAUUAGGGAAAAACAUAUGUGUAAGUAACUGUGCACAUCUUGACGGUACCUAAUCAGAAAGCCACGGCUAACUACGUG
rnacentral:rRNA from 1 species